GACAGAGGUCCCGAGCGUUAGGCGGAAUCACUGGGCUUAAAGCGUGUGUAGGCGGAUCGUUAAGUACCUUGUGAAAUCCCACGGCUUAACCGUGGAACGGCUUGGUAUACUGGCGGUCUUGAGCCACUUAGGGGCUACCGGAACAAAUGGUGGAGCGGUGAAAUGCGUAGAUAUCGUAAGGAAGACCAGUGGCGAAGGCGGGUCUCUGGACAGUUCCUGACGCUGAGGCACGAAGGUCAGGGGAGCAAACGGG
rnacentral:rRNA from 1 species